rnacentral:rRNA from 1 species
UACGAAGGGGGCAAGCGUUACUCGGAAUUACUAGGCGUAAAGGGCACGCAGGCGGUCUGAUAAGUCUAUUGUGUAAGCCCCUGGCUUAACUGGGAGAGGCCAAUGGAAACUAUCAGGCUUGAGUAUAGGAGAGGAUACUGGAAUUCCCGGUGUAGCGGUGAAAUGCGCAGAGAUCGGGAGGAACACCAAUGGCGAAAGCAGGUAUCUGGGCUAUUACUGACACUCAGGUGCGAAAGCUAGGGGAGCAAACAGG